rnacentral:rRNA from 1 species
GCUUACGGCCACACCGGCCUGAGUACGCCUGAUCUCGUCCGAUCUCAGAAGCUAAGCAGGGUCUGGCCUGGUUAGUACUUGGAUGGGAGACCGCCUGGGAAUACCAGGUGCUGUAAGCU